rnacentral:lncRNA from 1 species
CUAGAUGCCACCAGAAAACAAAACAAAACAUAAGACCAAAGAACUAAGCUGUUGGUUACCUAUUAAUAAUUGAAUCAGGCUAAACAGUAACUUCUUAGAAGCUGAUCAGUUUACCACACACACAAUUGGAAGCAGCCUGGAGGGUGGAAUUAGAGAGCUGGCACCCACAACAACAGGGAAAAAGAACACUUCACUGACAGCUGUUGUCCAGAUGCCUGGGAGAGGGCCAAGAUUGCAGAGAGGAAUGUCACCAGGUCAGGAUCUGGAAACAAUCAGCUCUUAUGGUUUUAAGGAUGAAGCGCCAAGAUCUUAAGGAACCUGAAUUCCUGGUGAGCAGUCAAGUUCUUUAAUCCGCCCCCAGCAGGAUUCCGGCGGCUUAAAAAAGAAAAGAAAAAGAAAAUCUAUUUUAAAAACAAGUCAAACCAAAGCGAACCUACCCUAACCCUCCUCAUUUCUAAAGAAAAAGCCGCUUCCAACGCAGGUUUUUUUUCCUAAGGAAA